rnacentral:rRNA from 1 species
GACGAACGCUGGCGGCGUGCUUAACACAUGCAAGUCGAACGGAAAGGCCCUGCUUCUGUGGGGUGCUCGAGUGGCGAACGGGUGAGUAACCCGUGAGUAACCUGACCUUGACUUUGGGAUAACUUCAGGAAACUGGAGCUAAUACCGGAUGGGAGCACCACCUGCUUGGUGGGGGUUGGAACGUUUCGGCGGAUGGGGAUGGACUGGCGGCAUGUCUGGUUGCGGGUGGGGUAGUGGCUUACCAAGGCUUUGGCGGGUCGCGGGACUGAGAGGGUGACCGGCAACGUUGGGACUGAGAUACGGCCCAGACUCCUACGGGAGGCAGCAGUGCGGAAUAGUGUACAAUGGGCGGAAGCCUGAUGCAGCAACGCCGCGUGGGGGAUGACGGCCAUCGGGUUGUAAACCGCUUCCGCCUGUGACGAAGCGUGAGUGACGGUAAUGGGUAAAGAAGCACCGGCUAACUACGUG